rnacentral:rRNA from 1 species
AAAUUUUGAACGCAUAUUGCACUUUCGGGUUAUGCCUGGAAGUAUGCCUGUAUCAGUGUCCGUACAUCAAACUUGCCUUUCUUUUUCUGUGUAGUCAGGAAUCGAGAUGGCAGAAUGUGAGGUGUCUCGAGCCGUCCCCUCUUUUUGGGAGAUAGCAC